UACGGGGGGGGUAAGCGUUGUUCGGAAUUACUGGGCGUAAAGGGCUCGUAGGCGGCCAACUAAGUCAUACGUGAAAUCCCUCAGCUUAACUGGGGAACUGCGUGUGAUACUGGAUGGCUUGGAUGUGGGAGAGGGAUGCGGAAUUCCAGGUGUAGCGGUGAAAUGCGUAGAUAUCUGGAGGAACACCGGUGGCGAAGGCGGCAUCCUGGACCAACACUGACGCUGAGUGAGCGAAAGCCAGGGGAGCAAACGGG
rnacentral:rRNA from 1 species